UUGAGCAGUGGAGAAGACAAAAAUAUAACAAAAAAUUCCCCGGAGAGCAUAGGAGAGCUCUUCUCCCCCUCUCAUUUCUAUUGUGCAUGCAUGUGGAAGCCUCAUCUUGCUCCCCAUCACCUCUCCUCCUCCACUGGUUCCCAGGGACCUGAUUUGGAGCCUCCCUGAGCUCAUUCAAGUCUCUAUCAUCAUUAUCAUCCUUGUGCCUGCUCUCACCCAUGCAGUUUAAUUAGGAUAUAAAACAUGGUCUUAAGAGCUCGGAUGAGUGGAGGGAACUCCACGUGAAGGACAGGGAACCAGCUGCAGGGGAUUCCCAGCUGCUCUGCUGCUGAGCCUGGCGGCUUUUGCCUGAAAGUUGGUUUUCCUGUUCUGCCAAGGACUGAUGGAGGCAAUGUUUCUUGAAGUGCUGCAGGAGGACAGAGCUGCUCUUACUCGAACCGAUGAUUCACACAAGCACAACCAGUCUCGGUGAGCUCUUAGCAUCCCCAUACACCACAGAAGGAGGUCAGAGAAGUGUUUUCAUCCCAGCCAGGUACAGUGACUCGUGAGGUAACUGUGAGAGGCUACCUGGCUCUGGCUGAUGCUGCCAGAGGUGGGAUGUGAGGUGAGCUGGGAUGGCUGUGGGGUGGCACUAGAUGAUGGAGAGGCUGCCACAUUGUUCCCCACUACUCUGGAGCCAAGUGCAAUUUGCUUCCCUUAAGGCACCAGAGCUCUGCUGUGAGUUGUAGCUGUGAUUAAAACAUCCACUGCUGCUGUCCUCCUUCCCUCACUCAGAUGCUUGUGGCCCUGCCUGCCCAUUCCCCAGGAGUCAUGGAGCUAUGCUAAGGGAAACUGCCUUCCCCUUCCCCACCUCAUAGCUGGGACAGUAUUUUUGUGUGGGCUCACUGCCUUGUACCUGGGCAGCUUGACCAGUUUGGAGGGACAGGGUGGGGAAUGCUGGCUCCUUGUUCAAAUACCUGACUCAGUUCAUUUAGAUGCUUGGGGGUAACAGUUGCUUCAUCUGGUUGGCUUUUUAUUUUUCUGCUGUUUGUGCCUUUGUUUGCUUCCCCCUCCUUUCCCCUUAACAUACCCUUUGAGCUGUUCUUUAAUUGAAGUAAACGGAGCAGCUGCUAUGGUGUGUGCUGUUUUUCCCAUUUUCCCCCGUGAGUCACACAUUUCCUUCCUUAAUGUCUCUAUCUUCAGUCGGUCUGUACUAAUGAGGCCCCACAUCUCAGCUGCUGAAUGCUCAAGCUCAUCUGCCUGGAAUUUUCUAACUCAUUUCAAUUCAUUUCCCACUUUCCCCUCUCAUCCCUGCUGCCUUUCUCCCAUUCCCAUCCCACCUCUCUUUAUCUCCUCUCCCUGACUUUGACUCUUCUCCCACUCUUCCCUCCAUGUGUCCCACCAGCCUGCCUGCAGCCCCCUUGCUGCCUGCCGCCCUCCCAGAUGGAGAUGAGACCUGAGCAUCAUUGCAGAUGCAGGAUGGAAGUGCUGUGGAGGGGAAGGAAAUAAGAGUGCACAGUCCCAUGCCAGAGACCCACUGGGGAAAGCUGCCCCUUGGCUCUGUGCCUUGCCUGGGUGUCAGCCCAAAGCACUCAGUGAGGAGCAAGCAAGAGCAGUGGCAACAUCUCUGCUCUGCUUUGCUCAGAAGGAGAUUUCAACCUUUCUCAUAUCUCCUCCCAUCUGAGUCUGAGCUUUUCCUUGCUGUAAUUCUUUGGCGACAGCACCUGGUCUUCAGCUAUGAACCAGAGCUGGAGCUCAGCAGUUGUGUUAUCUGCUGAUAUAUACGUUCUGCACCCACGACCACUGAGACACCACAGAAACUCUGUUGUGUUCCCAGGCUGAUCUCCCAGACAGGUGCUAAGCCACGAGGAUGGGCUCCCCGAACUGCUUUGUUAUUUCCCUGUGGGGCCAGCCAAGAGUCCAGCGAGCACAGCAACUGCAGUGACAGGGACUUUCUUUCCACUGGGACCCCAGCCAAGGCUGGCUCCUUAUUUCACUAAGGCUGAGUUGCUGCCAGAGGCUAAUGAAUGGUGGUCAACAGUGAACUGACCUUCCUCUGAACUCACGAUCCCAAGGUGAGCAGCUCCAUUUAUCCAGAGCCCAACACUGCCAAUCAGCUUUUCUACAUUCACCUUCAAUGGGAUCUGACGAGAAGGACAAUCUGUGAGUGGUUUUGCUGAUCUUGGAUGGAUGCAGCACAUGGAGAAAACACUUGUCUCCAUCUCUUGCUCCUGAUUAUACACAUGACCCAAGGAGAGCAUGACCUGCUGACAAACACAUCCUGGAGAUGGAGAAUAUGAGAAGUUCACAUCAUCCUAUAUGACAGUCUGCUGUUACACUGGACUAGGUGUCACGACCUUGGAAGCA